rnacentral:rRNA from 1 species
AUGACGGGUUGCAGGGGAAAGCUGCUGGUGCUUGACACUCGGACAAUGGAGUUCUCAGUUGCUGACCUCCCACCUGAAGCGAGACGACAAUAUGUGGAUAUAGCCAUUGUGGAGGCAGGGGAAGGCAUCAUUGGGAUGUUUGUGCUUCCAAAUCACACAUCUGACCUCAGUUAUCUGAUUAGGCGAAACAAUGGUGGGAGUUCCAGCCAGUGGCGGUUGGAGAAGACAAUCCGACUGGAUUCUCGUUGGUGCAGAUUCACAAAUUCAACAGGGAGGCACUUGCUCUUGUUUCAUUCAGGAAGCUCAUUGCUCGAUAAAGGCACUUUCGCGCUGGACAUCAAGACAUUCCAGCUUGAGAAGGUGUUUGCAACACCUGGCACACCCAUGACAUAUGUAUAUAGCAACUUCCCACCAUCAUUGCUAUCGUCCCCAACAAUAUCGAGUGCUGCUUCAUAG